rnacentral:rRNA from 1 species
UACGGAGGGAGCUAGCGUUGUUCGGAAUUACUGGGCGUAAAGCGCACGUAGGCGGCUUUGUAAGUUAGAGGUGAAAGCCCGGGGCUCAACUCCGGAACUGCCUUUAAGACUGCAUCGCUUGAAUCCAGGAGAGGUGAGUGGAAUUCCGAGUGUAGAGGUGAAAUUCGUAGAUAUUGGAAGAACACCAGUGGCGAAGGCGGCUCACUGGCUCGUUUUCUGACGCUCAGGCGCGGCAGCGUGGGGAUCAAACAGGG